rnacentral:rRNA from 1 species
GGGUUGUGAGGUUAAGCGACUAAGCGUACACGGUGGAUGCCCUGGCAGUCAGAGGCGAUGAAGGGCGUGCUAAUCUGCGAUAAGCGCCGGUAAGGUGAUAUGAACCGUUAUAACCGGCGAUACCCGAAUGGGGAAACCCAGUGUGAUUCGUCACACUAUCAUUAACUGAAUCCAUAGGUUAAUGAGGCGAACCGGGGGAACUGAAACAUCUAAGUACCCCGAGGAAAAGAAAUCAACCGAGAUUCCCCCAGUAGCGGCGAGCGAACGGGGAGGAGCCCAGAGCCUGAAUCAGCAUGUGUGUUAGUGGAAGCGUCUGGAAAGGCGCGCGAUACAGGGUGACAGCCCCGUACACAAAAGCGCAUGUGCUGUGAGCUCGAUGAGUAGGGCGGGACACGUGGUAUCCUGUCUGAAUAUGGGGGACCAUCCUCCAAGGCUAAAUACUCCUGACUGACCGAUAGUGAACCAGUACCGUGAGGGAAAGGCGAAAAGAACCCCGGCGAGGGGAGUGAAAAAGAACCUGAAACCGUGUACGUACAAGCAGUGGGAGCACAGGUUUACCUGUGUGACUGCGUACCUUUUGUAUAAUGGGUCAGCGACUUAUAUUCUGUAGCAAGGUUAACCGAAUAGGGGAGCCGGAGGGAAACCGAGUCUUAAUUGGGCGUUAAGUUGCAGGGUAUAGACCCGAAACCCGGUGAUCUAGCCAUGGGCAGGUUGAAGGUUGGGUAACACUAACUGGAGGACCGAACCGACUAAUGUUGAAAAAUUAGCGGAUGACCUGUGGCUGGGGGUGAAAGGCCAAUCAAACCGGGAGAUAGCUGGUUCUCCCCGAAAGCUAUUUAGGUAGCGCCUCGUGAAUUCAUCUCCGGGGGUAGAGCACUGUUUCGGCUAGGGGGCCAUCCCGGCUUACCAACCCGAUGCAAACUGCGAAUACCGGAGAAUGUUAUCACGGGAGACACACGGCGGGUGCUAACGUCCGUCGUGAAGAGGGAAACAACCCAGACCGCCAGCUAAGGUCCCAAAGUCAUGGUUAAGUGGGAAACGAUGUGGGAAGGCCCAGACAGCCAGGAUGUUGGCUUAGAAGCAGCCAUCAUUUAAAGAAAGCGUAAUAGCUCACUGGUCGAGUCGGCCUGCGCGGAAGAUGUAACGGGGCUAAACCAUGCACCGAAGCUGCGGCAGCGACACUGUGUGUUGUUGGGUAGGGGAGCGUUCUGUAAGCCUGUGAAGGUGUGUCGUGAGGCAUGCUGGAGGUAUCAGAAGUGCGAAUGCUGACAUAAGUAACGAUAAAGCGGGUGAAAAGCCCGCUCGCCGGAAGACCAAGGGUUCCUGUCCAACGUUAAUCGGGGCAGGGUGAGUCGACCCCUAAGGCGAGGCCGAAAGGCGUAGUCGAUGGGAAACGGGUUAAUAUUCCCGUACUUGGUGUUACUGCGAAGGGGGGACGGAGAAGGCUAUGUUGGCCGGGCGACGGUUGUCCCGGUUUAAGCGUGUAGGUGUGUGUUCCAGGUAAAUCCGGUUCACUUUAACACUGAGGCGUGACGACGAGGCACUACGGUGCUGAAGCAACAAAUGCCCUGCUUCCAGGAAAAGCCUCUAAGCAUCAGGUAACAUCAAAUCGUACCCCAAACCGACACAGGUGGUCAGGUAGAGAAUACCAAGGCGCUUGAGAGAACUCGGGUGAAGGAACUAGGCAAAAUGGUGCCGUAACUUCGGGAGAAGGCACGCUGACACGUAGGUGAAGUGAUUUACUCAUGGAGCUGAAGUCAGUCGAAGAUACCAGCUGGCUGCAACUGUUUAUUAAAAACACAGCACUGUGCAAACACGAAAGUGGACGUAUACGGUGUGACGCCUGCCCGGUGCCGGAAGGUUAAUUGAUGGGGUCAGCGCAAGCGAAGCUCCUGAUCGAAGCCCCGGUAAACGGCGGCCGUAACUAUAACGGUCCUAAGGUAGCGAAAUUCCUUGUCGGGUAAGUUCCGACCUGCACGAAUGGCGUAAUGAUGGCCAGGCUGUCUCCACCCGAGACUCAGUGAAAUUGAACUCGCUGUGAAGAUGCAGUGUACCCGCGGCAAGACGGAAAGACCCCGUGAACCUUUACUAUAGCUUGACACUGAACAUUGAGCCUUGAUGUGUAGGAUAGGUGGGAGGCUUUGAAGUGUGGACGCCAGUCUGCAUGGAGCCGACCUUGAAAUACCACCCUUUAAUGUUUGAUGUUCUAACGUGGACCCGUUACCCGGGUUGCGGACAGUGUCUGGUGGGUAGUUUGACUGGGGCGGUCUCCUCCUAAAGAGUAACGGAGGAGCACGAAGGUUGGCUAAUCCUGGUCGGACAUCAGGAGGUUAGUGCAAUGGCAUAAGCCAGCUUGACUGCGAGCGUGACGGCGCGAGCAGGUGCGAAAGCAGGUCAUAGUGAUCCGGUGGUUCUGAAUGGAAGGGCCAUCGCUCAACGGAUAAAAGGUACUCCGGGGAUAACAGGCUGAUACCGCCCAAGAGUUCAUAUCGACGGCGGUGUUUGGCACCUCGAUGUCGGCUCAUCACAUCCUGGGGCUGAAGUAGGUCCCAAGGGUAUGGCUGUUCGCCAUUUAAAGUGGUACGCGAGCUGGGUUUAGAACGUCGUGAGACAGUUCGGUCCCUAUCUGCCGUGGGCGCUGGAGAACUGAGGGGGCUGCUCCUAGUACGAGAGGACCGGAGUGGACGCAUCACUGGUGUUCGGGUUGUCAUGCCAAUGGCACUGCCCGGUAGCUAAAUGCGGAAGAGAUAAGUGCUGAAAGCAUCUAAGCACGAAACUUGCCCCGAGAUGAGUUCUCCCUGAGACUUAGAGUCUCCUGAAGGAACGUUGAAGACGACGACGUUGAUAGGCCGGGUGUGUAAGCGCAGCGAUGCGUUGAGCUAACCGGUACUAAUGAACCGUGAGGCUUAACCUUACAACGCCGAAG